rnacentral:rRNA from 1 species
CGCGUAGGCGGUCUACUAAGUCAGACGUGAAAGCCCUGAGCUUAACUCGGGAAUGGCGUUUGAUACUGGUAGACUAGAGAUUCAGAGAGGUGAGUGGAAUUCCUAGUGUAGAGGUGAAAUUCGUAGAUAUUAGGAGGAACAUCAGUGGCGAAGGCGGCUCACUGGCUGAAUACUGACGCUAAGGCGCGAAAGCGUGGGGAGCAAACAGGAUUAGAUACCCUGGUAGUCCACGCCCUAAACGAUGAGUGUUAGACGCUGGAAAUUGAUUCAGUGUCGUAGCUAACGCGUUAAACACUCCGCCUGGGGAGUACGGUCGCAAGAUUAAA